rnacentral:rRNA from 1 species
CGGAGGGUGCAAGCGUUAUCCGGAUUCACUGGGUUUAAAGGGUGCGUAGGAGGGCAGGUAAGUCAGUGGUGAAAUCCCUAAGCUUAACUUGGGAACUGCCGUUGAUACUAUCUGUCUUGAAUACCGUGGAGGUGAGCGGAAUAUGUCAUGUAGCGGUGAAAUGCUUAGAUAUGACAUAGAACACCAAUUGCGAAGGCAGCUCGCUACACGAAUAUUGACUCUGAGGCACGAAAGCGUGGGGAUCAAACAGGAUUAGAUACCCUGGUAGUCCACGCCCUAAACGAUGGAUACUCGACAUACGCGAUACACAGUGUGUGUCUGAGCGAAAGCAUUAAGUAUCCCACCUGGGAAGUACGACCGCAAGGUUG